rnacentral:rRNA from 1 species
GACAGAGGUGCCGAGCGUUAGGCGGAAUCACUGGGCUUAAAGCGUGUGUAGGCGGGUCGUUAAGUGUCUUGUGAAAUCCCACCGCUCACCGGUGGAACGGCUGGGCAUACUGGCGACCUUGAGAGGCCUAGGGGCAGACGGAACAAAUGGUGGAGCGGUGAAAUGCGUAGAUAUCAUUUGGAACGCCAAUGGUGAAAACAGCUGACUGGGAGUGUGCUGACGCUGAGACACGAAAGCCAGGGGAGCGAACGGG